ACGUGUAGGUGGUGAAUUAAGUCAUUAGUUAAAUUGCUGGGCUCAACCCAGAAACUGCUUUGAAACUAAUUUACUAGAGUUCGGGAGAAGAAGGUGGAAUUAUCAGAGUAGCGGUGGAAUGCGUAGAUACUGAUAGGAAGGCCAAAGACGAAGGUAGCCUUCUGGACCGAUACUGACACUGAGGCGCGAAAGCUAGGGGAGCAAACA
rnacentral:rRNA from 1 species